CAUCGUUGCCCCAAUGCCUUAGCCUUUUGCAAGGCGUAGUACAAGGGGUGUUGGCUUCCCGCGAGCGAUGCCUCACGGUUGGCUGAAAAUUGAGCCCGUGGUGGAGUGUGCCGCGAUGGAUGGUGGUUGAGUAAAAGCUCGAGACCGAUCGUGUGUGUCACCCCUACCGGAUUUGGGACUCUUUGACCCAUGAGCGGCGUUGGCUGCCCACGACGGGA
rnacentral:rRNA from 1 species